CCCUUAGAUGUUCUGGGCUACACGCGUGCUACAAUGGCGUUUCCAGCAAGUCUGCGAACCCGAGAGGGCCAGCGGGUCUUCGAAUUGGCGUCGUGAUCGGGACAGUCGAUUGCAAUUAUUUGACUCAAACGAGGAAUUCCUUGUAAUCGCGAUUCAUCAUAUCGCGCUGAAUACGUCCCUGCCCUUUGUACACACCGCCCGUCGCUCCUACCGAUUGAGCGAUCCGGUAAAUGUUUUGGAUUGGUGCCGGGGCGGCUAGCUGCCGGUCGCUACGAAAUUUUGUGAACCUUAUCGCUUAGAGGAAGGAAAAGUCGUAACA
rnacentral:rRNA from 1 species